rnacentral:Y_RNA from 1 species
GGCCGGUCCGAAGGUGGCGAGUGAUCUCACCUGACGGCUCACUGUCAGUUACAGAUUGAACUCCUUGUUCUACCUCUCUCUCCCCUCCUCCUCGCUAUUGCACUUGGCUAGUCUAAA